rnacentral:rRNA from 1 species
GACGAACGCUGGCGGCGUGCCUAAUACAUGCAAGUCGAACGCAGUGGGGACGGGUGAGUAACACGUUGGUAACCUCCCAUCAGAGGGGAUAACACUUGGAAACAGGUGCUAAACCGAUACUGAUGGCUGAACCCGCGGUGCAUUAGCUAGUUGGUGAGGUAACGGCUCACCAAGGCCACGAUGCAUAGCCGACCGGAGAGGGUGAUCGGAGACACUGGGACGGAGACACGGCCCAGACUGCAACGGGAGGCAGCAGUAGGGAAGCGUCGGCAAUGGACGAAAGACUGACCGAGCAACGCCGCGUGAGGGAAGAAGGUUUUCGGAUGGUAAAACUCUGGUGUUAGAGAAGCGGUAUCUAACCAGAAAGCCACGGCUAACUACGUGCCAGCAGCCGCGGUAAUAC